rnacentral:ncRNA from 1 species
UUUAUAACAGCUUAAUUUAUCCAAUCUAGAAUAGAUAAGAUAGUGACUAAAAAUAAAAAGACCAUUCCUAUGGAACGGUUGUUUCAAUGAGUUGAUCAUACACCUCCUUUCGAUUAUCAAGUGGAGGGCAAGCCUGGUGCCAGCAGCCGCGGUAAUCCCAGU